GGGGGGGGGGGGGGGGGGGCGUGGGGCGUGCGGGGCGGGCGGGGGGGCGGUGGGUUUGGGGGGUGCGCGGGUGGCGAGCGGGUGGGGGGCACGUGAGUAACCUGCCCUUGACUGUGGGAUAGCUUCAGGGCGCUGGGGCUACUACCGGAUAGGGGCGCCGGCUGCAUGGUGGGGGUUGGAGAGUUUCGGCUGUUGGGGAUGGGCUCGCGGCUUAGCGGCUUGUUGGUGGGGUAGUGGCGUACCAAGGCUUUGACGGGUAGCCGGCCUGAGAGGGUGACCGGCCACAUUGGGACUGAGAUACGGCCCAGACUCCUACGGGAGGCAGCAGUGGGGAAUAUUGCACAAUGGGCGGAAGGCUGAUGCAGCAACGCCGCGUGCGGGAUGACGGCCUUCGGGUUGUAAACCGCUUUCGCCUGUGACGAAGCGUGAGUGACGGUAAUGGGUAAAGAAGCACCGGCUAACUACGUG
rnacentral:rRNA from 1 species